GUGGGGAAUAUUGGACAAUGGGCGAAAGCCUGAUCCAGCCAUGCCGCGUGUGUGAAGAAGGUCUUCGGAUUGUAAAGCACUUUAAGUCGGGAGGAAGGGCAGUAAGUUAAUACCUUGCUGUUUUGACGUUACCGACAGAAUAAGCACCGGCUAACUUCGUGCCAGCAGCCGCGGUAAUACGAAGGGUGCAAGCGUUAAUCGGAAUUACUGGGCGUAAAGCGCGCGUAGGUGGUUUUGUAAGUUGGAGGUGAAAUCCCCGGGCUCAACCUGGGAACUGCCUCCAAAACUGGAUGACUAGAGUACGGUAGGGGGUAGUGGAAUUUCCUGUGUAUCGGUGAAAUGCGUAGAUAUAGGAAGGAACACCAGUGGCGAAGGCGACUACCUGGACUGAUACUGACACUGAGGUGCGAAAGCGUGGGGAGCAAACAGGAUUAGAUACCCGAGUAGUCC
rnacentral:rRNA from 1 species